GGGUGUUUGGGAAAAGAUUAUAUGACAGGCUCCUUCAUUACGCAGAAGGCUGGUGAACACUUUCUCUGUUCUAGAUAUUAAUACAAUACAGCUUUUGUGGUCCCAAUAGGAGAUAAAAUGAUAGAGGUCUGCAAUUAGCACCAAGGUAGGGAUGAGGGAGUGAUGUAAAUGCUGUCUGGCCGGCAGCUUGCCCAGGAGAUCAGUUUCUGACUGAAAAAUAGCAGGAGUUCAGAUUCAGGGGGUUGAUGGAACAUAGCGUGGAGGAUGCUGGUAGCUCUAGCAUCACGAACUGCCGCGGGCCAGUUACCAGGCGAUUACCUGGGAAACCCGGAAGGCCCUCGUGGAGGAUUCUGGGGAGCCGACGUUGUGGCUCCCGAAGGGCAUGCGCCAGGCUUCCCGCCGCCUGACACAUCAGCGGCGCCAUCUUGACUCUACUGCGUGUAGAUCCCUAUUUCGGGUUUUCAGCCUGGGUGGCCGGAGGCGCUGUUCCAACAGGGUGUUUGUUCUGCAAUUGUGUAUUAUUACAUCACUGCAUCGCCCCAGAGGAGACUCAGAUAGGUACUGGGUAGCAAGAAGGACCAACGAAGCUACUUCAGCCAUUGAUGUGGCAGAAAACAUCUCCUGUGAAGCCCUCGGCUCCUGUGAUGCCUUCUCUCCCUGAGUGGCACCCGCUUCCAGCACUCAUUAAAUCUUAAGACAAGCUUCAUCACCUUUCUGGAACUUUUAUGCUGUCCCUUGGACCAUUUAUUUAUUUAUUUAUUCCAUUCUUCUGUGAGAAAUGUGAGUGGGUUAAAAAUCCAAGUAUGAAACCAGGAAAUAAUUACUCCAUAGUUGAUGCAAAUAUUACCCUGCUUCACCACGUUGGCUCAGGACUACUAUGUACCAGUGGAACGGAAAUUGAUCUGUGCUGGAGUCCUUCUUGUUCCAAUCUCUGGAUUAAUGUUUUAUGGUUCUUUAUGAACAUGUCCUUUUAGUUCUCUCCCCAUUGUCCUAAUAUGCAGCAGCUGAAAGAUCAUAUAGAGUCACGUUGGGAAAGAAGGCACUGAUGUCCUGGUCCCUCAACUGAAGAAGGCGCUGCCUUGGUCUCUGGGAUGCAAGAACAUCUUCAGUUUCUCCACAUCUUGCCUCCUCAGCUUAUUCCUCAUCAGUGAACUCUUCCCCAAACAAGACACUCCACAUCAGCCAUUUGGGCUUCCUCCCGUCCCUGUUGCAAGGAGCUCUCUGUGCAGUUUGUACUCGCUGCAGAGCACGCAGAAGCCAAGAGCAAGAAGCUGGUAAUCUGGGCACCCACAGUUGUGAUGAGGCAUCUUCAGCGGAGCCAUCCAAAUCAAAUAUUUGGCUCUGCUGCUUCAGAUGCGCUGUCUCAUAUUGUCACUGUGGUGCUGGCAGGGGAGUCGAGCCCACUGGGGGUGGGGGCCCGAGGGUGGGGACACAGCGGAGCGCACCCUCCCUCCAGUGUCAUGUACCAGCAGCAUCCCCUGCCCUUGGUUGUCCUGGGUGCCAUCUGAAACUGCGGCGCCUCUUGGACACGGGCCAAACUGCAUACAUCUAAGGAAGAACGGCAGGAAAGCACACCUCCCUGAGGUCAAAUUUUCCUUUUCUAAUAAACAUUUUAAGCACUGGUCCUCGAUCCUUCCAUGGUGAUCCAGUAGUUGGGACUUCGCCUUUCAGUGCAGGGGUUGCAGUAUCUGUCCUUGGUCCUGGAGCUAAGAUCACACGUGCCUCGUAGCCCCCAAUCCAAAAUGUAAAACAGGAACAAUAUUGUAACAGAUUCAGUCAAGACUUUGAAAAUAAUCCAUGUCAGAAAGUCUUAAAAAAAAAAAUAAGUCCUAGUCCUUUUACUACUAGUGUGUUCCUAUCCUGUGUUACUAUCCUUGGUGGUAGUAACAUGCUUUUGAAAAGCAUCUCAGAGUCAACACAGCCGUUUUCAUAUACGUUGUUUCAUUUGGUUUUAAGACAAUCCUAUAAGGUAAAUGUGAGAGAAGAGAUGCUCAGCCAAUCAGAGGGUUACUAGCUCCUUCAGGGAACUGGGAAGAUAGUCUGGAAAUCUGUGUCCGCGUCUCAUGACCUGGUGGGUUACUUCUCUGCAGUGAUUGUUCAUUGGGAAAAAGUUGAUA